UCUUAGUUAGCUCAGUUGGUAGAGCUCUCCACUGGAAAUGAAGAGGUAGUAAAGUGGUAAUCUGAGCUAGUUGGUACAUCACUAAGAU
rnacentral:tRNA from 1 species